GACCCCAGCGUCCUUCUGCAGCCCCCCACCAGAGACCAACAAUGGUUUUCACAGAGGCGCCUCCUACAGGGCAGGUGGGGAGGUGCGGUACAAGUGCAAGCGCGGGUACCGGCUGGAGGGCCCAGAGACCAUCCGAUGCCAGGAGAACCAGGAGUGGUCUGGGCCCGCCCCAUCCUGCCACCCCGUGUUCUGCCCGCCCCCCGGGGACAUUGCCGAGGGCUACCUAGUGGCGGUGGAGAAGCCUCAGUACCGGGCCGGGGAGCUGGUCUAUUACCUCUGCAAGCGCAGCUACCUGCUGGACGGCAGCAACCGGGUCACCUGCCAGAGCAACGGCACCUGGUCGCCCCGGCCCUUCU